rnacentral:misc_RNA from 1 species
AAAAGAAAGGCAUCUAUUAUUCACUGCUUUAAUUCUCUUCUUUAAUUAAACUGCUUUCAAUGAUAAACAAGAAAACAAGCAUAAAAGAUUGUUUCUUGCCUUGAUUAAAUACUUACAUCCUACCAAAGGGAAAGGUGUCAGCAAGUUUAUGUCAUUUGAUGACUUUUUUUUUACGCAAGGCAUAGAUUUCAAAUGUAAUGCACAAGAAUUUAAGAUCCAUAGCUCUUAAUAAAUAUUUUUUGCCAUUCCUCCCCAUGUCUUCACAGCAUUUGCCUCUUUCGCAAUCACAAAAUACAUCUAUCUAUCCGCCCUUUUUUCCAAAAAUGGCCGAAGAAGUUCUCUUCAACAUUGCUGGAGACAUCAUCAAGAAACUGGGUUCUGGAGUUCUCCAACAGAUUGGGCUGUGGUGGGGUGUCAACGAUGAACUCGAGAAACUCAAAAGCACACUCACCACAAUCCAAGCUGUGCUUCUUGAUGCA